rnacentral:lncRNA from 1 species
UGACAAGAAUAUAAAAGUUGGUAACCUAGAGGCGCUUCAUUGUGAAACCAUUUGGACAGCUCACAUUCGGGUGUUACGGCAGAGGAAUGAUAAGGAAAGAGGAGCUUGGAGAAAGCAGACACGGUCCUUCUAAGAUAAAGGCAGACGGAGAUCUGAGGCACAUAAGGAGAAGAGGAGAAGGCCGUGUGGAGACAGAGGCAGAGACUGAAGUUACGCCGUCACAAGCUAAGAACACCUGGAGCCACCAGAAGCCGGGAGAGGCAAGGAGGGACUCUCCCCGGGACCGACCUUCCGAGGGAGGCUUCAUGUCAGAGUCGCGUCUCCAGAACUGUGAGAGAACACAUUUCUG